CAAUAUCAGCAAUAAAAUGAUAGAAAACAAGGGUAUUGCCCAGAAUCUUAAGAAUAGUACUAACAUAUUUGCAAAGUUCUGAUUUUGAAUAUUGGGGAGAAUUGUGGGAGUGCGUAGCACGGAACAAUUCGUAGGUAUCA
rnacentral:sRNA from 1 species